rnacentral:rRNA from 1 species
GAUGAACGCUGACAGAAUGCUUAACACAUGCAAGUCUUUGGCGAAGCUGUGCUUGCACAGCCUAGCCAAGGCGGACGGGUGAGUAACGCGUAAGGAACUUGCCCUGCAGUCAGGGAUAACAGACGGAAACGACUGAUAAGACCUGGUAAAGUCAGGCGGACUCAUGUCCAGCCUGAUGAAAAGAGAUGCUGCAGGAGAGCCUUGCGUCCUAUUAGCUUGUUGGUGGGGUAACGGCCCACCAAGGCGAUGAUAGGUAGCCGGCCUGAGAGGGUGGACGGCCACAAGGGGACUGAGAGACGGCCCUUACUCCUACGGGAGGCAGCAGUGGGGAAUAUUGGACAAUGGGGGCAACCCUGAUCCAGCAAUUCUGUGUGCACGAUGAAGGUUUUCGGAUUGUAAAGUGCUUUCAGAAGGGAAGAAAAAAAUGACGGUACCUGCAGAAGAAGCGACGGCUAAAUACGUG